rnacentral:rRNA from 1 species
UACAGAGGGUGCUAGCGUUGUUCGGAAUCAUUGGGCGUAAAGGGCUCGUAGGCGGCCAACUAAGUCAGACGUGAAAUCCCUCGGCUUAACCGGGGAACUGCGUCUGAUACUGGAUGGCUUGAAUCCGGGAGAGGGAUGCGGAAUUCCAGGUGCAGCGGUGAAAUGCGUAGAUAUCUGGAGGAACACCGGUGGCGAAGGCGGCAUCCUGGACCGGCAUUGACGCUGAGGAGCGAAAGCCAGGGGAGCAAACGGG